AGUGAACGCUGGCGGCAGGCCUAACACAUGCAAGUCGAACGGCAGCACAGAGGAGCUUGCUCCUUGGGUGGCGGGUGGCGGACGGGUGAGGAAUGCAUCGGAAUCUGCCUAUUUGUGGGGGAUAACGUAGGGAAACUUACGCUAAUACCGCAUACGUCCUACGGGAGAAAGUGGGGGACCGCAAGGCCUCACGCAGAUAGAUGAGCCGAUGCCGGAUUAGCUAGUUGGCGGGGUAAAGGCCCACCAAGGCGACGAUCCGUAGCUGGUCUGAGGGGAUGAUCCGCCACACUGGAACUGAGACACGGUCCAGACUCCUACGGGAGGCAGCAGUGGGGAAUAUUGGACAAUGGGCGCAAGCCUGAUCCAGCCAUGCCGCGUGUGUGAAGAAGGCCUUCGGGUUGUAAAGCACUUUUGUCCGGAAAGAAAAGCAUUCGAUUAAUACUCGGGUGUUAUGACGGUACCGGAAGAAUAAGCACCGGCUAACUUCGUGCCAGCCGCCGCAGUAACAC
rnacentral:rRNA from 1 species